rnacentral:rRNA from 1 species
ACCCUUUAGUACGAGAGGAACAGGGGUUCGUCGCCUCUAGUUUAUCAGUUGUCUGACAAGGCAUGCUGAGUAGCCACGCGGUAGCGGAUAAGAGCUGAAGGCAUCUAAGCUCGAAGCCGUCUUGAAAAAGAGGUACCAUGGACGCUCAUAAAUGAUGAGUUUGAUAGAAGCCGGAUGUAAGUAUCGAGGUUCGCCGAGAUAUUCAGUCCUGGCUUACUAAAGUCCGUUUACGUCGCUGG